GUGGGCAGGAGGGAAUGAUACAGUCUCUCCUGUUUCCACUCAAGAGAGGAGAGAGGGGAGGUGGGCAGGAGGGAAUGAUACAGUCUCUCCUGUUUCCACUCAAGAGAGGAGAGAGGGGAGGUGGGGAGGAGGGAAUGAUACAGUCUCUCCUGUUUCCACUCAAGAGAGGAGAGAGGGGAGGUGGGCAGGAGGGAAUGAUACAGUCUCUCCUGUUUCCACCCAAGAGAGGAGAGAGGGGAGGUGGGCAGGAGGGUAUGACAGUCUCUCCUGUUUCCACCCAAGAUGUAAAUGCUCCUGCAUGUCAUCCAUCCAUCCAUCCUGCUCUCUGGUCCAGUGUCAUGUGUUUGUUGAUGAUCAUUAGUGUCAUAUGUACUGCGUAUGUUUUCAUUUCAUUCUGCAUAUUACACAUUUCAAAAUGUCUGUAUUAGUAUCAGCGGUUCAUCUUUCUUUGGCGAUGUUAAUAGGGAGCAUAAAAACUUCAUGUUUCUUUCUUUUUGUAUGUAUCCUUUGCUCUGUUUUAAAUUACACUCAAAAUAAAAUUCAUUCCCAUCCUCUGAACUUCACCCCUCCCCCCCUCGUUGUUCUUGUGACAUCUUCAAGUGACAGAUCAACAUCAAAAACACUACUCCAAAAAUUGGUUAUAAGAAUGGAUAUUGAUAUUUUUCAUUUUUCAUUGCUAUCAAAUGUUUAAUGAUAAACAAAUAUAGCCAAAUAAUAGGCCUUCUGGUGGUGACCCUCUAAAGGGCUGUAGAGGAAGGAAGGACCAGAGGAAGACAUUUCAACUCAG
ensembl:lncRNA